GACUGCUCACCGGGAGAGCUAGCUCAGAAAGGGAGAACUGGCGCCGCAGGCCGGGAGGAGGAGCGCCGAGCGGAGUGCUCGCUGGCGGGCCGCUGAGAGCGUCUUCUUUGCGGACGCUGGGGUCGCCAUCUUAGAUGGCGGGAGUUGGAGCGCAGCUAGCGUGAGGCGGGAAGGCUUCCCUACCGCUUUCCCCAGGUGCCCAGAGGGCCAGCUGGCCAGGGCUUGGGGCGCGUGCCCUGAGGCGCGCAGCACGAGGGCGAUGAUGCGGGACCCUCUCGGGGUCCCGUCCCCUGGGCUGGGGACGCGCCGCCUGUGACCGCCUCCCGCUCCCUCAGCGCUGCGGGAGCAGUGAGCGCUACGCCGCCGCCGCCACCGCCACUGGGACCGGACGGCCUGGCACUCACAGGUUUCAUUACUACUUAAGCUGCAUCCAUGGAGCACAUACAGGGUGCUUGGAAGACGAUUAGCAACGGUUUUGGACUCAAGGACGCUGUGUUUGACGGCUCCAACUGCAUCUCCCCGACGAUCAUGCAGCAGUUUGGCUAUCAGCGCCGGGCCUCAGAUGAUGGCAAACUCACAGACUCCUCGAAGACAAGCAGCACCAUCCGAGUCUUCUUGCCGAACAAGCAGAGAACGGUGGUCAAUGUGCGGAAUGGGAUGAGCUUGCACGACUGCCUUAUGAAAGCGCUCAAAGUGAGGGGCCUGCAGCCGGAAUGCUGUGCAGUGUUCAGACUUCUCCAUGAACACAAAGGUAAAAAAGCACGUUUAGAUUGGAAUACUGAUGCUGCCUCUUUGAUUGGAGAAGAACUUCAAGUAGAUUUCCUGGAUCAUGUUCCCUUCACCACACACAACUUUGCUCGGAAGACGUUCCUGAAGCUUGCCUUCUGUGACAUCUGUCAGAAGUUUCUGCUAAAUGGGUUUCGGUGUCAGACUUGUGGCUACAAAUUUCAUGAGCACUGCAGCACCAAAGUCCCUACCAUGUGUGUGGACUGGAGUAACAUCAGACAGCUCUUGUUGUUUCCAAAUUCCACUAUUGGUGACAGUGGGGUCCCAGCACUACCAUCUUUGACAAUGCGUCGGAUGCGAGAGUCUGUUUCCCGGAUUCCUGUUAGUUCCCAGCACAGAUACUCCACACCCCACGCUUUCACUUUCAACUCCUCCAGCCCCUCCUCCGAAGGCUCCCUCUCCCAGAGGCAGAGGUCCACGUCCACACCCAAUGUCCACAUGGUCAGUACAACGCUGCCCGUGGACAGCAGGAUGAUUGAGAAUAACAGCCUGAAUGCUUCUCCCAGGGCGUGGUCCAGAGGAUUUUGUGUGAGGGGAAGAGAUGCAAUUCGAAGUCACAGCGAAUCAGCCUCCCCAUCAGCCCUGUCCAGCAGCCCCAACAACCUGAGCCCAACAGGUUGGUCGCAGCCCAAAACCCCUGUGCCGGCACAGAGAGAACGUGCUCCAGGACCUGGCACCCAGGAGAAGAACAAAAUUAGGCCUCGAGGACAGAGAGAUUCGAGUUACUACUGGGAAAUAGAAGCCAGUGAAGUGAUGCUGUCCACCCGGAUUGGGUCAGGCUCCUUUGGAACUGUCUAUAAGGGCAAGUGGCAUGGAGAUGUGGCAGUAAAGAUCCUGAAGGUGGUAGACCCAACCCCAGAGCAGUUCCAGGCCUUCAGGAACGAGGUGGCGGUGCUUCGCAAAACAAGGCAUGUGAACAUCCUGCUCUUCAUGGGGUACAUGACGAAGGACAACCUGGCUAUUGUGACACAAUGGUGUGAGGGCAGCAGCCUCUAUAAACACCUGCAUGUCCAGGAGACCAAGUUCCAGAUGUUCCAGCUGAUGGACAUCGCCCGGCAGACGGCUCAGGGCAUGGACUACUUACACGCGAAGAACAUCAUCCACCGAGACAUGAAAUCCAACAAUAUAUUUCUCCACGAAGGCCUAACAGUGAAAAUUGGCGAUUUUGGUUUGGCAACAGUGAAGUCCCGCUGGAGUGGCUCUCAGCAGGUGGAGCAGCCCACUGGCUCUGUCCUGUGGAUGGCCCCAGAGGUGAUUCGAAUGCAGGACAACAACCCAUUCAGCUUUCAGUCUGACGUUUACUCCUACGGCAUCGUGCUGUAUGAGCUGAUGACGGGGGAGCUCCCCUACUCCCACAUCAACAACCGUGACCAGGUGACAUGCAAUCAUCUUCAUGGUGGGCCGAGGUUAUGCCUCGCCAGACCUUAGCAAGCUGUACAAGAACUGCCCCAAGGCCAUGAAGCGGCUGGUGGCAGACUGUGUGAAGAAGGUGAAGGAGGAGCGGCCUCUCUUCCCCCAGAUCCUAUCUUCCAUCGAGCUGCUCCAGCACUCUCUGCCCAAGAUCAACCGGAGUGCAUCUGAGCCGUCCCUGCACCGGGCAGCGCACACUGAAGACAUCAAUGCAUGCACGCUGACCACAUCCCCGCGGCUGCCUGUCUUCUAGCUGGCUCUGUACCCAGGGAGGGAGGGAGUCAGAAGCUGCUAAGGACCUUCUAGACCAUACACGGGGCCUUACUUCACUUUGCCUUCUUCUCUACCCACAUGGCCCCGGGAGAAAGCCAGUCACUGCCCCACUGCCUCGUCCCUGUGGGCCCAGCCUUCUCCAGGUGCACAUAGAUCUCAUGCAAUACCACGCUGGGCCCUGGCUGGCAGCAAGAGGCAGGAGUGUUUUGGGGGAGAGAAAGGGGGUGGACAGCCCAGCCCCGGUGCAGGGAUACAUGGUGUUUCGGAAAUCAGCCUUUUCACCUCUCGGACAGUGGUGCAGCACCAAACAGUUUUGCACAUAAUGCACCAAACAGCCAGGACUGCCGGGAUCCCGGAUGUGGAGAGUCUGCUUUGGUACUAUGGAACUUGACUGUGGGGAUGUGUCCCCAUGUCCCAUCUGCCCUCCAUGGGAGCAGCCCCCUCAUGCUGAAUCUGUCUUCCAGGAGCUGCCCCAGGGUGGGCGCUGGCCAGCCCUGUCCCUAGUCAGCCUCAGCGUCAUGUAUGCAAGGAAGCCAGGACCCAGGUUUUCUUGAUGAUUUGGGUUUUAAUUUUGUUUUUAUUGCACCUGACAAGAUACAAGUUAUCUGAUUGUUCCUCAAUUAUGUUAUUUUAAUAAAAUAAAAUAAAUCUA